UGGGGAAUUUUGCACAAUGGGGGAAACCCUGAUGCAGCGACGCCGCGUGAUUUAGAAGGCCUUCGGGUUGUAAAAAUCUUUUGUAUGGGAAGAAAAUGACAGUACCAUAGGAAUAAGGACCGGCUAAUUACGUGCCAGCAGCCGCGGUAAUACGUAAGGUCCGAGCGUUGUCCGGAAUCAUUGGGCGUAAAGGGUACGUAGGCGGGUAAGCAAGUUAGAAGUGAAAUCCUGUAGCUCAACUACAGUAAGCUUUUAAAACUGCUCAUCUUGAGAUAUGGAAGGGAAAGUGGAGUUCCUAGUGUAGCGGUGAAAUGCGCAGAUAUUAGGAGGAAUACCGGUGGCGAAGGCGACUUUCUGGCCAUAAUCUGACGCUGAGGUACGAAAGCGUGGGUAGCAAACAGG
rnacentral:rRNA from 1 species